rnacentral:lncRNA from 1 species
ACUACGGCAACUGAAAAGACUGUUAGGUAUAAAUAGAGUUCUUCAUCUGACUUCAGCUUGUUGAGGAGUGGUGUAAAGCUGAGAUAGUUUUUUAGCUCAUCAAAUGUGUGCUAGCAUUCUUUGGUCCAUUAAAAAUUUUUUGGCUACUUUAAAAUUUGAAAGAAGGGAAGGCAAUGCUCGACUGAUCUGAAGAUGAAUCGAUUCAAUACCACCACUC